GACGAACGCUGGCGGCGUGACUUAACACAUGCAAGUCGAGCGGUAAGGCCCGUUUCGGGGGUACACGAGCGGCGAACGGGUGAGUAACACGUGGGUGACCUGCCCUUAGCUCUGGGAUAAGCCUGGGAAACUGGGUCUAAUACCGGAUAUGACUCCAUGACGCAUGUUGGUGGGGUGGAAAGCCUUGUGCGGCGUAGGGAGUCGGGCCCGGCGGCCUAUCAGCUUGUUGGUGGGGUGAUGGCCUACCUAGGCGACGGACGGGUAGCCGGCCUGAGAGGGCGACCGGCCACACUGGGACUGAGAC
rnacentral:rRNA from 1 species